AUAGCCUAACGGCUGAACCAGCAACUUGGAGGAAUGUAUAGCAAUUGCUAUUUGCACUAAAGGUUUUAGUGUAAAAUCGACUUUGUCGAAUAAAUUCUGGAUAGAAUUAUGAUAAUGACAUUACCUAUCCAUAAGUCUUGACCAAAUUACGUGCCAGCAGUCGCGGUAAUACGUAGAAGACAAGUGUUAUUCAUCUUUAAUAGGUUUAAAGGGUACUUAGACGGUAAAUAAAGCCUCCAAAAGGGACUAAUUUGCUAGAGUUUUAUAUGAAGGAGUUUUAAAGUACUACUGGUGUAGAGAUGAAAUUCAGUUAUACCUUACAUGGCACAGGUUAAGGCGAAAGCAUCUUCUUAUGUAAAAACUGACGUUGAAGGACGAAGGCUUUGUGUCUCGAACAGGAUUAGAUACCCUAGUAGUCUAAGCAGAAAAUGAUGAAUGUCAUAGAUUAGAUUUAAUUUGAUCUGUAAAUGAAAGUGUAAGCAUUCCACCUCAAGAGUAAUUUGGCAACAUUGGAACUGAAAUCAUUAGACCGUUUCUGAAACCAGUAGUGAAGUAUGUUGUUUAAUUUGAUAAUCCGCAAAAAACCUUACCACAAUUUGAAUAGAUAUAUUUUAUCAUACAAGCGUUGCACGGCUGUCUUCAGUUAAUGUCGUGAGACUUUGGUUAGUUCCAUUAAAUUAACGUAAACCCUUACUUUAUUUUUAUA
rnacentral:sRNA from 1 species